rnacentral:rRNA from 1 species
UAUUAAAGGUCCAACCUGCCCAGUGAAUAAUUUUCAACGGCCGCGGUAUCCUAACCACGCAAAGGUAGCAUAAUCACUUGUUUCUUAAAUAGAGACUUGUAUGAACGGUUAAAUGAGGGCCUAACUGUCUCCUGCAGCCAAACAAUGAAAUUGAUCUUACAGUACAAACGCUGUAAUACAACUAUAAGACGAGAAGACCCUGUGGAGCUUUAAAUUUAUAUAUUAACCAGAUACCAACCGUAUACAACAUAAUGUAAAUUUUAAGUUGGGGUGACUGUGGAGUAAAAACAAACCUCCAUAUUAUAACGGCUAAACCCCGUAACACCAGGCUAACAAGCCUAACCAAAACAUUUUGACCCAGUCAAACUGAAUACUGAACCAAGUUACCCCAGGGAUAACAGCGCUAUCCCCUUAAAGAGUUCACAUCGCCAAGGGGGUUUACGACCUCGAUGUUGGAUCAGGACUUCCCAGUGGUGUAGCCGCUACUAAAGGUUCGUUUGUUCAACGAA